GAUGAACGCUGGCGGCGUGCCUAAUACAUGCAAGUCGAGCGAACAGACGAGAGUGCUUGCACUCUCUGACGUUAGCGGCGGACGGGUGAGUAACACGUGGGUAACCUACCUAUAAGACUGGGAUAACUUCGGGAAACCGGAGCUAAUACCGGAUAAUAUUUAGCUUCGCAUGAAGCAAUAGUGAAAGACGGUUCUGCUGUCACUUAUAGAUGGACCCGCGGUGUAUUAGCUAGUUGGUGAGGUAACGGCUCACCAAGGCAACGAUACAUAGCCGACCUGAGAGGGUGAUCGGCCACACUGGGACUGAGACACGGCCCAGACUCCUACGGGAGGCAGCAGUAGGGAAUCUUCCGCAAUGGACGAAAGUCUGACGGAGCAAUGCCGCGUGAGUGAAGAAGGUUUUCGGAUCGUAAAACUCUGUUGUAAGGGAAGAACAAGUACGUUAGUAACUGAACGUACCUUGACGGUACCUUAACAGAAAGCCACGGCUAACUACGUG
rnacentral:rRNA from 1 species